rnacentral:rRNA from 1 species
GUAAUGUAUGGGGAUCUGCCUGAUGGCGGGGGAUAACUACUGGAAACGGUAGCUAAUACCGCAUAAUGUCUACGGACCAAAGCGGGGGACCUUAGGGCCUCUUGCCAUCGGAUGUGCCCAGAUGGGAUUAGCUAGUAGGUGGGGUAAUGGCUCACCUAGGCGACGAUCCCUAGCUGGUCUGAGAGGAUGACCAGCCACACUGGAACUGAGACACGGUCCAG